AAGAACAAUAAUUACAAUCUAAUUAUCAUCAGAUUCAUUAUCUUCCUCGUCCUGAAAUACUUGCGGUAUGUGCUUCUUAACCAACUCCUCCAAUUUAUCAAAUUUAGCAAACUUAGCGUCGUUAGCUGCACAUUUCUGCGUCAAUUCCAUAAUUUGAUUUUUCAUCGCUUCCAUUUCUUCCAUAGUUUGUAAAGUAGAAGAGGAACUGGGAAACAACGAAGGACUACUCGAGGAUUGGAGAACCCCUGUCCCGUAGGUUCUACCUUUCUUUCGACCACCUACCACAGUUGUCCACAUAUUAUUCAGCUCUUCAGGUGAUGGUUGGACCAUGGUACUAUCCUCUAAAGUAGGUUGGGUUUGAC
rnacentral:lncRNA from 1 species